CCUACGGGAGGCAGCAGUGGGGAAUAUUGCACAAUGGGCGAGAGCCUGAUGCAGCAACGCCGCGUGAGCGAUGAAGGCCUUCGGGUCGUAAAGCUCUGUCCUCAAGGAAGAUAAGGACGUUACUUGAGGAUGAAGCCCCGGCGAACUACGUGCCAGCAGCCGCGGUAAUACGUAGGGGGCUAGCGUUAUCCGGAAUUACUGGGCGUAAAGGGUGCGUAGGUGGUUUCUUAAGUCAGAGGUGAAAGGUUACGGCUCAAACGUAGUAAGCCUUUGAAACUGGGAAACUUGAGUGCAGGAGAGGAGAGCGGAAUUCGUAGUGUAGCGGUGAAAUGCGUAGAUAUUAGGAGGAACACCAGUUGCGACGGCGGCACUCUGGACUGCAACUGACACUGAGGCACGAAAGCGUGGGGAGCAAACAGGAUUAGAUACCCCUGUAGUC
rnacentral:rRNA from 1 species